AUGUCCCUCCACAAGAUCAAAGAAAUCAAACCGGUGAGUUUGCCGUACCUCGUUGAUAAUCAUGAGGAGGCCCUCGAUCUGCUCUUGUACGAGGCACACAAGUUGGCCUACCGGAUCCAGUCUCUGAGCAAAGAAUUCAGUGCCACCAUCCCCUUGGAGAAGCUCAGAUUAUUCCAUCUCCUGUCGCAAGAAUGUCUGAGGAUCUCUGAAACCAUAGCCACGCAUGGAUCGCCAAUUUCUUGUGAAUCUUCUGAGGAUGCUGAAAUUUCUCUUUUCAAAGAGCGUCGUAACGGCUGGGAAUCUACUUGGGGCAGUCCGGUGUUACGGUGUGGCAGCUUCAAUGAUAUAACCACACUGUCCCCUAUGUACACACUCUGCACCUCGUGUCAUUGA
rnacentral:rRNA from 1 species